GAUGAACGCUGGCGGCGUGCCUAAUACAUGCAAGUCGAGCGAACAGACGAGGAGCUUGCUCCUCUGACGUUAGCGGCGGACGGGUGAGUAACACGUGGAUAACCUACCUAUAAGACUGGGAUAACUUCGGGAAACCGGAGCUAAUACCGGAUAAUAUAUUGAACCGCAUGGUUCAAUAGUGAAAGACGGUUUUGCUGUCACUUAUAGAUGGAUCCGCGCCGCAUUAGCUAGCUGGUAAGGUAACGGCUUACCAAGGCAACGAUGCGUAGCCGACCUGAGAGGGUGAUCGGCCACACUGGAACUGAGACACGGUCCAGACUCCUACGGGAGGCAGCAGUAGGGAAUCUUCCGCAAUGGGCGAAAGCUUGACGGAGCAACGCCGCGUGAGUGAUGAAGGUCUUCGGAUCGUAAAACUCUGUUAUGGGAAGAACAAAUGUGUAAGUAACUAUGCACGUCUUGACGGUACCUAAUCAGAAAGCCACGGCUAACUACGUG
rnacentral:rRNA from 1 species